rnacentral:snRNA from 1 species
GUGCUCGCUUCGGCAGCACAUAUACUAAAAUUGGAAUGAUACAGAGAAGAUUAGCAUGGCCCCUGCACAAGGAUGACACACAAAUUCGUGAAGCGUUCCAUAUUUAA